rnacentral:rRNA from 1 species
GUGAACGCUGGCGGUAGGCCUAACACAUGCAAGUCGAACGGCAGCACAGUAAGAGCUUGCUCUUACGGGUGGCGAGUGGCGGACGGGUGAGGAAUACAUCGGAAUCUACUUUUUCGUGGGGGAUAACGUAGGGAAACUUACGCUAAUACCGUAUACGACCUACGGGUGAAAGCAGGGGAUCUUCGGACCUUGCGCGAUUGAAUGAGCCGAUGUCGGAUUAGCUAGUUGGCGGGGUAAAGGCCCACCAAGGCGACGAUCCGUAGCUGGUCUGAGAGGAUGAUCAGCCACACUGGAACUGAGACACGGUCCAGACUCCUACGGGAGGCAGCAGUGGGGAAUAUUGGACAAUGGGCGCAAGCCUGAUCCAGCCAUACCGCGUGGGUGAAGAAGGCCUUCGGGUUGUAAAGCCCUUUUGUUGGGAAAGAAAAGCAGCAGGUUAAUACCCCGCUGUUCUGACGGUACCCAAAGAAUAAGCACCGGCUAACUUCGUG